rnacentral:rRNA from 1 species
CAGCACCUCAAGUGGUCAGGAUGAUUAUUGGGCCUAAAGCAUCCGUAGCCGGCUCUGUAAGUUUUCGGUUAAAUCUGUACGCUCAACGUACAGGCUGCCGGGAAUACUGCAGCGCUAGGGAGUGGGAGAGGUAGACGGUACUCAGUAGGAAGGGGUAAAAUCCUUUGAUCUAUUGAUGACCACCUGUGGCGAAGGCGGUCUACCAGAACACGUCCGACGGUGAGGGAUGAAAGCUGGGGGAGCAAACCGGAUUAGAGACCCGAGUAGUCC